rnacentral:rRNA from 1 species
CAGCAGCCGCGGGAAUACAGAGGGUGCGAGCGUUAAUCGGAUUUACUGGGCGUAAAGCGUGCGUAGGCGGCUUCUUAAGUCGGAUGUGAAAUCCCUGAGCUUAACUUAGGAAUUGCAUUCGAUACUGGGAAGCUAGAGUAUGGGAGAGGAUGGUAGAAUUCCAGGUGUAGCGGUGAAAUGCGUAGAGAUCUGGAGGAAUACCGAUGGCGAAGGCAGCCAUCUGGCCUAAUACUGACGCUGAGGUACGAAAGCAUGGGGAGCAAACAGGAUUAGAUACCCGCGUAGUCCCUGUCUCUUAUAU